UCCGGUCAGAGGCCACACUUCCCAGCAGUCAGGACGGCGCCUGCGGCCCGCGCAGCUCUCCUUUCCAAACAGGAAGCAGGGCAGCCGCGUGCGGAGGGUGCGGGGGGGAACGUGGUCCCCGCGUGGCGUGGCCUCGUGCUCACAGCGUGGGACGGGGCUUCCGUGUGCCCGCAGCAGGCCGAAGAAAGGAAGAUGGAGACGCUGGCUGAGUCCUCCACACCCAGCUGCCGGAGGGCGGGGAAGCCACUGUUUAUUCCUGGACACCCGGUGCGGCCCUGGGGCCUUAGGCAGGAGCACACACCAUGCUGAGCUUGGCCAGAGGCAGGGACAAGCCGGGCCUCCAGGACGCCUGACCUCGGGGCAGCCCCGGCGGUGCCCUCGCGGGACCUGUGGCAGAGCCGUGCAGGACCGCCCCAUGGGUGCCCCGUCCGCCCUGGACGUCUCACGGGGCCGGAGACUGCGAGGGCAGGUCCUAGACGCGCUUCUAGACAUUACCGCACCCCUUCUAGGAAGAUGCUGAGCGUCCCCAGGGACAAGUUGGAGCCUGAAGCCUCAGAGUUGCCAACGAUGAAGGAAAGAAGCAAAGAUUCGGAGCCACAGGGCAAGCUGAGGACAAGAGAAGGCUGUACAGGAAGCACAGUGCCAGCAGUGGCUUCUGACAAGGGCCUCAGGAAGCUUCACUCUUGGCAGCAGGUGGAGGGGAGCCCAUGUGUGCAGAGUUCUCAUGGUGAGAGGGAAGUAAGAAUUGGGAGGCAUCAGGUUUCUUUACUAAACAGGUCUCACAGGGACGACUAGAGUGAGACUCACCCACUCAUCACCAUGAGGGUCAGGCCCUAUGUGAGGGAUCUGCCCCCGUGGCCCAAACACCUCCCACCGGGCCCACCUCCAGCAUUGGGAUUCAAUUUCAACACGCGGCUUGGAGGGCCACAUACCCAGACCACAGCAGCCACCUGAGCCUGUCCGCUCCCACAGCUCCCGCAGGUCCCGCACGGCUGGCCUGUUGAGGGGCGGCCUUAAGGGGUCCUGUCUGCCCCCACCUCUGAAGAGCAGCCCGAUGAGGCCGGGGCCCUGGCGCUGCAUCCCUAGCCCAGUUCUUGGGAGUUUCUUUACGAGACGCCGCUGAGAAGGGCAUUUGCCUCGACCGAAUGGCCUACCUCUGCCCUCUCCUGUGAAACAGAAUCAGAGCUCCAGAGCUGCAGAGCUGAGAGGGGCUUCGGCUGAAUCCACCUCUUCAUUUUAAUGCUGACCAAUCUGAGUCCUGGGGCUGGAGACAGACAUGCCAGGAUGCUCCCCAAACAGGAGGUGACGCUGUGGAGGGGACACUGCACCCUGAUCUGCUCUUUGCAGCGCUGGUGGAGGGUAGAGCAUGGGCCCUCUCAGCCUCCCCUGGUGGGUCGGAUGGAUUUCCUUAAAAACUACGGAGAAGCUGAACGUCCAGGAUGGAAUAUCCCCUUUGACAAAUGUUAUUGGGGUUAGCGCUGGGGGAUGACCAGAAGCCACGUGUGUGCACUGACGCAGAACUGCGAACUCACAGGAUGGGUGGAACAGAACGCGCUUGUGGCAAGCCUCCCCCUUGCUGUGUGACGGCGGUACUCGCUUGCGGCCUGUGUCUCGUGGAGGUGGGAACCACUACCUGUUGGGAGGCCAGGACUGGCCGACAAUGAAAAGACGACUGUUUUCCGAACUCACUCAGAGGCUUGUGGAUCCGACCUUUACUUCCAGAUCAGAGAAAAUGAUUUUGAUUUCAUGUUUUUGUUACAACGACAUUUGAAGGUAUGACCUUUACAGCGACAUUUGUCUCUCACUCAAACGCUUUUUGCCCCCUUAGGUUUUGUGCUGAAGUCAAAGUGGAUCAGGUGGUGCGGACGGCUUCUGCCUGAGUGCACCCGCGGAGAACGUCAUUCCCGUCCUCUCCUCCCUUCACGCUGUUUCUGAGGGGUUCGGAUGUGUUGAAGACCCCUCUCCAACUUUCCAGGGAGCUGGGAGCACAAGAGGCAAUUUUAUUUUAUUUUUUUGAGGCAGAGUCUCACCCUAUCGUCCAGGCUGGCGUCGAGUGCAGUGGUGCGAUCUUGGCUCACUUCAUCCUCUACCUCCGGGUUCAAGUGAUUCUCCUGCCUCAGCCUCCUGAUUAGCUGAAAUUUAUUUAACUCAGCUAAUUAUUAUACUUGUAGUUGAGACGGGGUUUCACCAUGUUGGCCAGGCUGAUCUCAAACUUCUGACCUCAGGUGAACCGCCCGCCUCUGCCUCCCAAAGUGCUCAGAUUACAAGGAUGGUUUUCGUUUCCUGCCCCAGCCGGGCCAGCUCCCAGUCCAGUGGGCUCGGCUGAGUGGGGUCUCCUCCCACAGCUGCCCUGUGCUUUGGGGUCUGCCUUCCUGACCUUGGGUUUCAGAUGAUUUGGAUCUGUGACAUCGGAGUCCUGCAGCCCUGGGUUCUCUGUGGCAGCUGCGAGCGGGGCGGCUUUAGCGAUGAACACCACAAGUGGAGCACCGUGGCCUCCCUGGGGUGGCCCAGAGGGCAGCCCGUCUAGUGAGGGAAGAGGGGCAGGUGCAUGGGGAGGUUGUCACACCCCAAUCCUGAGAUGGACCUAACCAAGCUGCCCCAAAGCAGACACUGCCUGCAGACAGGCGGCCGCCACAGCUGACUUUAUCUCCCAGCUCUGGGGGUUCAAGGCCCACGGUCCUGGUACGACCGGUUUGGUUUCUGGUGGGGGCCCAUCUGCGCCGUCACGUGCAAGAGAGAGUUCUGGUGUCUCUUCUGAUAAGGGCACUGAUCCCACCCUUGCGACCUCAUCUAACCCUAAUGACUCCCUUAGAGGCCACGUCGGUGACCCUGGGGGCCAGGACUCCCACAGAUGGACUCGGGGACACAAACAUUCGCUCCUUGAGACAUGCAGACAAACAGGAGAAAAUGAAUUCCCAUAGAAAUCAGGAUGGAAGCCAUGCAGAGGACCCUCAGGGCAAAGGAAGGUGGGGGCUGUGGCCUCUCUAUGCCCAGAGAGCAGCCAGGGGGCAUCAGUGGAGGGGAGGUCACCAUGGAGGAUGGGAGCCUGCUGGGUGGUAACUGGGGGUUUGUCACCAUGUCACAUCUUAGGCAACCACCUAUAAUAAUCACAAGCUUCAGCAUGUUUAACAAGCUUUUAUUUCAAUACAAGGCAAUCAACUCAAAAGGACAGAGUUAGAAAUGGGACAUAUAGACAGUUGUAUUAGUUUUAUGUGCAGAGCAGGAUCUGCUUGCUUCCUUCUGGUGCUGACCGGCACUGUUUAAAAGAAUCUACGGAAUCCUAACAGCAACGGACGCUGACGCUGCUGGGCACACAAGACCCUCUCGGCCAGCGUCACCUCAAGGCACUUCCCCGCCUGCCGACAGUGGUUUGGAGACUGGGGGCUGUGGCACUGUGGGUGGCUCCAGGGCCUGGGAUCCCGUGAGGGCUCCUGAGCAGAUGCACCACCCUCAGUGUGGGGAGGACGAGGGAGUGGAUGCCCACCCAAGGGGGUGACGGAAAGGGCUUCCUAAGUCCACUAGAGCUCUGAGGCCCCCCGGCAUCUCCCUCCCCCAGGGCGGCAUGUGCCCCCAUGUGCCACCCGCCCCGCCCUGCUCUGUGGUCUCUGCUUGGCCUGCUCUGGGUGCCUCCAGCUCCGCCAUACCCUGCACAAGUCUCUGCCUCAGUCUGCUGCACCCAACAACUCUGAGGUUUUCAGGAGGCGAAGGGGUGGAAGAAGUGACUCUCGAGCUCCUGGAGCUGUGUGGGGAAGGGUCCUUGGGGGCCCUGGAGUGGAGAGACACACCCGAGGUUUUCCAGCCACCCAGUGGGGAGGCGCGGUGGCUGGAUUUGGAGAUGCCUGCAGAGGUGGCCGCAGGAGGCUGGGUUCUCCCUUGUAUUUCUAGACUAGAGGCAGUGGCAGAGGUUGGUGUGGGAUGGGAGGGGAGAGCAGCCAGGACGUAGAAACGUUCCAAACCUGUGAGAAGCUCCCGUUUCCAGACCCUUAAGUAUCCUUAGUCUGUAAGAAACAACACUCCAGCCAGAAGACCCUCUCAGGUUUAUUCUCAGAAAUCAACCUGUUCUUGACUGUGGAGCUGCUUGCGUCUUUCUUUCCUCUUUCCGUGACUCUUACAGAGAGCAGCCGAGACAACUCCACAGGCUCCAGCCGGUGUCGCUGUGGGGUGGUGUUGCAGAAUAUUCAGGAGACUGGAGAGACCAAUGGGUGAAACAGGAGGGUUUUAUGAAAGUGGCCACUGGCUCAUCAGAUUAGCAUCCUAUGGCUGAGCGAAGGAGAGAGAAAAUGGGUACUUUCUAUACCUCCAGGAUGACGCAGCAGCUAACAGGUUUGCAGAAGCCAGAACAGCGAGCAGCUAAUUCAUUUGUAACAUAUCUUGUGAUGUACGUUAUAUUUGAAAAAUAGCAUUUUGAGAAAUGCAUUGUCCAUCCUUUGGGUGUUCUUUUGCCCUGUGACCUCGCAGAUGGUCAGCAAGAGAAACAGGAGUCUUGAAAUGCCUGGGAGCUUUGCUGAGAAUGUGGGGAGAAUAGGUGAGGUAGGUUUUUCAGGGAGUUAGUUAAUUUUAAACAGUCAGGGGCUAGGUUUUAUAUUAAGCAACACACGACAGCAAAAUUUACUUUAUCAUAUAGCAACUACAAAUGAUAGGGCUUUAUUUUUACUAUUAUUGCUAUUAUUUAAUGCCCUUCUUCAGUGGGAGGAAGAGAGGAUCUGGGAUGACGCCACGUGCUUUCCGUGGCUGCCUGGGUGGGUGCGGCGGCCACCUGGGAGGGCUGUCUGAGCACGUGGCAGGAGGCAGCAUCAGCCUCAUGAGAUCUGGGGUGUGCACGGGAUGUCCAGAAGCCAUCGGAGAUGUGUGUCUGGGCGGGGUGCUGAUGGGGAGGGUGGGCUUCUGUGGCGAUUAGGGCAGGGGAAUGAGGCCGUGUAGGGGUGUGAGGCCUAAGGGUUGCAGCAGAUACCUGGGUCCACAUCGGGACAGCAUUGCUGGCUAAUGCCAAUCCCACCUGGCUUGGGGACAGGCUUGAAUGUGAGGUCUGUCCUGGGGAAAGAGUAACUUCUUUUUUUAGUUAUACUUUUACAUUCUGGGGUACAUGUGCAGAACGUGCAGGUGUGUUACAUAGCUAUACACGUGCCGUGGUGGUUGGCUGCACCCAUCACCCUGUCAUCUACAUUAGGUAUUUCUCCUAAUGCUAUGUCUCCCCUACCUCCCACCCCCUGCUGUCCCUCCCCAGCCCCCAACCCCCAACAGGCCCCAGUGUGUGAUGUUCCCCUCCCUGUGUCCAUGUGUUCUCAUUGUUCAGCACCUACUUAUGAGUGAGAACAUGAGGUAUAUCGUUUUCUGUUCUUGUGUUAGUUUGCUGAGAAUAAUGGUUUCCAGCCUCAUCCAUGUCCCUGCAAAAGACAUGAACUCAUCCUUUUUUAUGGCUGCAUAGUAUUCCAUAGUAUAUAUGUCCCACAUUUUCUUUAUUCAGUCUACCAUUGAUGGGCAUUUGGGUUGGUUCCAGGUCUUUGCUAUUGUGAACAGUGUCACAAUAAACACACGUGUGCAUGUGUCUAUAGUAGAAUGAUUUCUAAUCCUUUGUGUAUGUACCCGUCAUGGGAUUGCUGGGUCUCAGUAGUCACUGACAAGUCCAGUGGCUUCCCGAGCCAUGCUCUUGGUGUUACUCCUGGUUUCUGUCUCAUUCACAGUAGGAUUUGGAGUAGUUUACAAAGGUUAACAAAGUCUGGGGAGCCAGGGAAGCGGGAAUUAAGAAAAAACCCACAGGACAGAGUGGAGUGUGUGGUGACGUCAGCGGCCACAUGGACGCCUCCGAUUGUGCUGGGAGUACUGCUGUGGGCUGAAGGUGAGUCCAUCUCCUGAAACCGCUGGUCCCAAUCCUCAUGGCACCUGUUUUUAACUCGGAUUUCCAGCUCCGUUCACAGAGACCUGGACGCAGUGGGCCUGGGCUGGGCCCUGGAACCUGGGUUUCCAGCAAGUGAUGUGAGUUUCAGGAAUGAAGCCAGCCACAUCCUGAGCUGCAGGUGGGGCAGGUGUCUCUGACCCCAGGGUCCUGCCAGUCUGGGAUGCCUGGCUCCUGCUGCAGGCCUGGGUAUUGGAGAGUGGGCAGGCAGAGGCGGGGGCCUCAAAGCCAGGGAGGCAGGGGCUCCUGACAAGGGCCUGGCUCUCCCACGCCAGCCUCGGGCGCCUGAGCUUCCUCACCCACUCGGGGGCUUCGCCUGCAUCCUGGAAAUUUUCCUGGAAGGUGACUGGGUCUGGGGAGCUGCUGAUGUGGAGGAGGCAGACCCAGGAGACUGGGUGGCCCAGGCUCUGUGGGUUGUGCCCUCUCUGUGGGGCCUGGCUGGUGUUUGGCCCCAGGCAGGCGGUGUGGAGGCAGGGUGGCUGCUUGGGUCUCCUUGGGAAAACGUGAUGGUCAGCCACUGCCUGGGGCAGGGAUUGUGGCUGGUCACAGCCACUUUCUCACUCCUCUAGCAUCUCUGAGCCCAGCCCUGCCAGGCGCCAGCACCUGACGUUCCAGAGGACCAAGGCUUCCACCCUGGGUGUGGCCCUGCUCACGGUGCCUGCCCUAACAGGGAACCAAGUGCUGGCCCCUGAGCCCUGGAGCCACCUCUGAGUGGAGCCUGGUGUUGCCUCGGGGUCUGGGCAGGGGGUGCCCAGAAGCUUUGGGGUAGGAUGAGGCCUCUUGGACAAUCAGAACGGGGCUGGUUCUGGGAACCAGAUCUGGGGACAUAUCCCCUGGAGAGGGCGGAGGCCUCCCCAGCCCCUUACAGCUGGCAGGGCUCCAGCAUCCCCAAGCCAGGGGGAGCCUGGAGUCUGCCCUGCUGUCUCCCUGGCUGAAUUCUCUGUUGACACAAAGAUGACACCUCCUUGGGAGUUGCUAAGGACUUUGAACAGAGGAGAGCCCCGCAACCUCCCAGCACCAGGCACUGUGCAGCUGAGCCCAACACCCAGAAGCUGCUGUCAUCUGGGUCCCUGGGACACUGCUGUGGGCUGGUUCACCCACUCCAGCCCUUGCCACUCAGAGCUGCAAGGUGGCUUCACCACUUUCUUAUGGGCAGUCUCCGCCUUCCAGAUUCUGAGAGACCGCUGGUGCCUCCCUUCACCCUCCCCAGCUGCUGUCGCCCAGAGCCUCAUCUCUGGGACUUCACUACCCUGCCACUCCUCCCACUGACACACACGUGUACACAGAUGCACAUGCAUGCACGCACACAUGCAUACAGACACAUACAUGCACACACGGAUACGAACACAAUGUACACACAUGGACACACAUGAACAUACACACAGACGAAUACACAGACAUGCACACACACCUGCCCUGCACACACAGAUAUGUGCACAUGGACACACAUGAACACACAUGCACACAGACACAUGAACACAUGCACACAUGCACUCAUGCACACAGGCACAGAUGUAUGCAUGCACACACGCAUACAUGCACACACAAACACGAACACAUACAGACACCUACAUGCACACGGAAACACAUGAACAGACAUGCACACAUGAAAAGACAUGCAUACAUAUACAUACACACACACGAACACACAUACAUGCACACAUGAACACGCACACACAUGAACACAGAUGCAGACAAUGCCCACACAUGAACAUGCACCCAUAUGAACACACAUGCACACAUGAACACGCACACACAUGAACACAGAUGCAGACAAUGCCCACACAUGAACAUGCACCCAUAUGAACACACAUACAUGCACACAUGAACACGCACACACAUGAACACAGAUGCAGACAGUGCCCACACAUGAACAUGCACCCAUAUGAACACACAUGAACACAGACACAUGCACAAUGCAUACACACAUGAACAUAUAAAUGCACCCAUAUGAACACAUACAUGCACACACAUGAACACAUGCACAUACAUGCAUACACGAACACAUGCACGUACAUGCACGCAGAUGCCUACACACAUGCAUACAGACACAUGAACACACAUGCACACAUGCAUACAUGCACACAUGCACAUAAGUCACGAACACAUGCACACAGAUUUAUACAUGCACACACAUGCACUCACAUGCACAGAGGCACAUAGAAGCAUUUAUGUGUAUACAUGCACACCCAUGCAUGCAAACAUACAUACAUGCCACCACAUGCACACAUAUACAUGCACACACAUGUGCAUAGAUGCACAGACUCGUGGACACAGAUGCACACAUGUGCACACAGACAUGCACACACACACACUACAGCAUGUGCACCCUGCCCACCCUAAGCCUGGUCUGCUGUCCCUGCUGUGCCCACUUUUCCUUGGUCCCUGAAACCGCUCUCCCCAGGACCCCUCCCUGCCUGGACACAGAGCAGGGUCCUGUGAAGUCAGGCUCUGAAGGAGUGGGGUCUCUCAGCCCCUCUGGAAGCCUGUCUCCAGGACCUGCCCUCCCCAGCGGAGCAUUUGGGGCCAGCAGCCCUCAGCCCUGCAGUGUCCAGACCUGGUCCUGGGGAGCUGGGGAGGCGGGUCAGGACCCGCAUGUUUGAUUGGGACCCAUUUGACAGGAGACUCUGGGCAUCAUCCCUAAAUUAAAUCUUGAUUUCAGAAUUUUGGAGUUUACCAAAAUGGACUUAUUUCUCAGUAUUUCCAAAGGUUCGAUUGUGCUUUAAAAUAAACAAUACACAUCUGAACUUAUUAAAAUAAGUUUACAUGAACAUUCCAAAGCCUCCCACCCCAGGUGUGAGGGUGGAGACAUUACUGGCUGGGACUCCAUGGCCCCGGGGCCUCUGUGACGCCCAGGCUCCUCUGCCGGAUGGCGUGACACUCUGCAGCGGUGAACAUGCCUGGACCCUCACCGGGGCGGGGUUCUGCUCAAGGGCACUGUGUGGGCCGGGGGCCGGGUCUCGCUGGCCUGGGGCCCGUUCAUGGCAAUGGCUGCCACCAUCUGAAAACCGGAUACUAUCUCUAGUCAACUGCUCUGUUUCUUUCUGUGUUCUGUUUAUUUUCUGAGAACUAGAAGAGACUAGUCAUCUGCUCCGGCCUAGUCUUGGUGAAGUCUGAAAUCCCACUAUCAGCACUCACUUCCUUUGAUCAAAGACGGUUCUGUUUAGAUUCUUCCUGAAAAUCACCAUCGGCCCUGGGAUGGCUGCUCCAGGAUCCUGAGGUGGGGGAUGUGAGAGGUCCCUGCCUCUUGUUUGGGGCAGUGGGUCGGGCUGUGCAGAGGCCACAGGCUGAGGUCAUGGUUCACAGUUCUGACCCAUCCCCUGUCACCUAAGACAGCCAGCUGCCUUCCAGCCAUCCUUUUCUGGGGUGGUAUCAGGAGCCCGACCUCAGCUCUUGUAUCAGUUCCUGUUACCCUGGGGCUUUCUGCCUCCAGAGCUGGGGGUCAACGCCUGGUCCCCAGGGAGAGGCCUGGCUGGACCACGAGCUGGGCCUCGAAUCUGCAGGAACUGGCUGGUCUUAUUACGCCCAGAUUUAUUUUUUGGAUUCCUGUGAGAAGGACAAGAAAAUAAGUGUGUGUGAGGCAGGUGGGCGGUGGGAGAAGUCGCCUGUGCAGUGGGUGAGAACACAGGAGCUUCCUCCUCGGGGAGGGGGCCAGGUGUUUCCAGGUGAGGCAGGUGGGCGGUGGGAGAAGUCGCCUGUGCAGUGUGUGAGAACACGGGAGAUUCCUCCUCGGGGAGGGGGCCAGGUGCUUCCAGGUGAGGCAGGUGGGCGGUGGGAGAAGUCGCCUGUGCAGUGGGUGAGAACACGAGAGAUUCCUCCUUGGGGAGGGGGCCAGGUGCUUCCAGGUGAGGCAGGUGGGCGGUGGGAGAAGUCGCCUGUGCAGUGGGUGAGAACACGGGAGUUCCCUCCUUGGGGAGGGGCCCAGGUGUUUCCAGGUGAGGCAGGUGGGGGGAGGGAGAAGUUGGCUGUGCAGUGGGUGAGAAUAAGGGAGUUCCUUCCUUGGGGAGGGGCCCAGGCACUUCCAGGAGGAAACAGCGCAUUGGGCUGUCUCCAAGUCAUCCCUGGGGCAACACAGGUCAGAAGGUGGGUGCAGCUGCUCCAGGCUGGUGGCUGCCUCGGGUCGACUGCUCCUGCUGCCUGGAGCUCUGUUCCCCUCCCUACGCCGGGGCUGCACUGAGGCCCCCAGCCCCCUGAGCUGAAUCAGUGGCCGGCGAGCUCUUCUGGCUGCUGUCUUCGCUCUCAGUUUCUUUUUUCUGUUUCUUUUUGUUUGUUUUCAGACAAGGUCUUGCUCUGUUGCCCAUACUGAGGUGCAGUGUGGAGACCCUGGCUCACUGCAGCCUUGCUGAGCUAGGGUGAUCCUCCACCUCAGCCUCCUGAGUGGCUGGGACUGCAAGCACCUGCUGCCAGGCUGGCCUUGAACUCCUGGCCUGAAGCAAUCUUCCCAUCUCCUCUCCCAAAGUGCUGGGGCUACAGAGACUUUGGAGAGAAAGUUUGCAGAACAAGUAAAAGACCAGAGAUAAGAAAGCUGUCAGCAGGUUGCUAGAGCUGCACUACUCCAGAAACGCAGCCCCGAGGGCACACUCAGAAACCUGCUGCCUCCUCCAGCUCCUGCCCUGGUUGGGAAGGUCCAGGUUCAGCCUGAUGGACACACACGGGAGGACAGAGGCCUCGAGGCCGCUGUCUGCCCACAGAAGUGCAGGGCCUGGCCUCCUCCAUGAGGACGAGGGCUGCAGGCUGCAGCAUUCUGCAAACAUUGGAUGCUUAAAAAGAAUGGAGAUGACUGUGCCCUUCCUGGUGGAGCUUCGAUGCUGCCCUGAGAAUUCCGGCUGCUUCUCGGGCUGCAAAGAGUGAAGGUGAGGGCGUGGAUGGAGGCCUGGAGCGCUCCCGGCACCUGUGCUCCAUGAGGCACUGCUCCUCAUGGCUGCCAUCACUGCAGCACCAUCCCUCUUUCCAGAGGGGAAACUGAGCCUCCAAGAGGGGAAGGAAGGUUCCCACGGCCAUGUGGCUGGAUGGGGCAUUUCAACCGACUUCUGUCCCCCUGAGUGUGUGCUGGCAUGUGCGUGAGCUAGGGGCUCACUUGGAGCUGAGGAGGCUGUUGGGGCUCCCGGGCAGAUGCCUGGGCUGGGUUUGUACCCCAAGUCUGUGCCUAGAGCCUGAGGGAUGUGCCUCAGGCCAGGGUCUGGUGAGGACCCCGCAGGGGAGUGAGGGGUCUUGGGGAUUUGUGUGGGCGCCGAGCCUGGGCCUGGGGACAGUAGUCAUGCCUGGGCUCUGCCUGUCUCUGGCUCCUGCUCUGGAUAACAGGCCAGCAGGGUUGGAGAGCGAGCCUGGAGUGUGUAGAGCCUCCUCCUGGAGUGCUCGGGAGCUGGGGUGAGAAGGCUGGAAGCCACCGUGGGACAGAGAAUGGGGAGGGGCCCUGCAAUCCCUCCCAGCUCUGCCCUGGCCUCCACCCUGGCAUCUCCAGGACUGCUGACCCCGUGCUCCUCCGUUUCCACCCGGGUGCUCCUCCCUCUUUGCCCGGAAAGCUCCUCUCUUGGCCCCUGGUGUCUCCAGGAUGGCCGGUCGGGCGCUCUUCUCUCUGCCCCGCAGUGUGUAGGCCACUCUUUCCUCUGUUCUGCCCCAUGGGACGCUCUUGCUCCGGGGCCCGCUUCUGAGGGUGAGUGGGUGGUCCCCAGACCUGGCCUGGGGAACCCUGACUCCUGCUGUCUGGCUCUGACAGUCACGGGGGUGCGGGGCAGGGGAAAAGUGAGGGCUUGUGAUGUGGGGGUGGCGAAAUCCAGACCUUGGGUGUCCGGAUGCCACAAGGUUGCAAGGAAGGCUUUGGUGGAAGCCCCAGGCAGCUCUGGGGCUGGAGGGCUCCACAGGGUGGUCCCAAAAGGGGCUGGUGGUAGGCCUGGUGCCCUUAGACCAGUUGUGGGGUGGGCCCCAUCCCUGGGAAGGGCAUCGGCGUGGGCCUGGGGCAUCUGGCUGAGGGCAGUUCAUGGGGGGCUGUGAGCUACCAGCAGCCCUACUGCCAGCCGCUGGGAGCCAGUGCUUGGGCCUGGACAGGGGCCUGUGGGGCUCCGGCCUCUGAGGCGUGGCCCAAGGUGGAAGAGCCUCAGUUUCCCAAUUUCCCUCCAUUCACUGCCACCUUUUCACAGGAAUGUCUAAUCCUGAAAAAGAAGGAUGACUGCAAGUAAUGGGAUUACUUUUUUCCCUUUUUUAAGAAAAUCGGGACCACAAGAGUUAUGUAUCAGUGGCUUCCUUCAGAGUAGAUACCCCAGAGAACAGAGAGAGAGGCUCAGGGCUGUGGGAGAAGACAGACAGAGAGAGAGGCAGAGAAGAGGAGGCAGCCGGGACAGAGUGGGAGACAGACACCUUCUGCUUAACACAACCUCAAAAGAGAAGCAAAAGGAAUCAGAAAAAAUAUUUGCAAACUCUUCAGCCAACAAGGAACCUCCAAGGAACUUACCCAGCUCCACAGUGACAAAAGAGCCCGAUUGAAAGAUGGGCAAAUUUCAGCAGGUCAUGGACUAAAAAAAUACAUAAGAAAAAUGGGCAAAUGAUCGGAGCAGAUGUUUCUUGAAAGACCUACUCUUGGCCAGGAAGUGUGUGAGGACACACCCAGCACCACUAAUUAUAGGGAAAUGCAAAUUUGAACCCCUGGUGAGAUACCACCUCACGCCUGCUAGAAUGGUUUUUAUCAGAAAGACAAGAUCACAAAGGCGGGAGGUGGAGGAAACAGGGCCAUUUGCUGUGUGCCGUUGGAGGGAAUGUGAGUGAGAACCCCUCCUACGCUACAGAGAGUGGCUGGAGUUUCCUGAAAACACUACAAAUAGGGGCACCGCAGGGUCCAGCAGUCCCAGUGCUGGCCGUACACCCCAAAGAAAGGAGACCCGGCCAUCAAAGAUGCAGUGGUGUGCCCCUGUUCACUGCAGCACUAUUCACAAUGGCCAGGAUCUGGAAUCCACCCGAGUGCCGGUCAACAGACGGACGGGUAAGGAAGACGCGGUGCCACGCACAGUGGAUACUAUUCAGCCGGAGGAAAAAGGAAUCCUGUCAUCUCAGCCACAAGGAUGAGCCUGCAGGAAUUUGGUACGGGAAAUCAGCCAGGCUCAGAAAGACAGACACCCCAUCAGCUCACUCCUAUGCAGGAGCUAAAAAAGCUGAACUCCAGGCCAUGGUGAUGGGCUGGUGGCUGCAGAGGCUGGUGGGGGGCACAGAGUUAGAGCCACAGGAGAAUACACUCUAGUGUUCGCGGUGCUCCAGGCAACUGUGGUUGACAACAAUUUAUGCUUUCAGACAGCGAGAAGAGGGGCUUCAGAAUGUUCCCACCACAAAGAAUGGACAAAGGUUUGAGGUGGCAGGCCCAGGGACCGCCCUGAUCUAUGAGGGUCCCACAUCACACAUGAGCAGAACAAGAACUGCCCUGGUCUGACGAUCCCACAUCAUACAUAGGCAUUGAAACAUCACGCUGUGUUCCAGAAAUGGGUGCAAUUACUGUGUGUCAAUUAAAAAAAGUGAGCAGACAGGCAGGGCGAGCUGGGCGGUGGAGGUGGAAUCAGACUCAGCUGAUGCGGCGGGCAUUUCUUCCCUGCCUCCUGUGAUGCGGAGACCCGACCUCAUUCCCAUGCCGUUCCCAGGCUUCCUUCAGAGCCCCGCGUGCUGUGGGGAGCUGCGUGGUGGGGUUGACGAUGGCCACAUCCCGGCACCUCUGGCUGCUGCCGCCUUCCAAGACAGCUCACUUCUGCGCCAUCCAGCCCACCAGCCAGCAUUGCCUCCGCAGACCACUUGGUGCUAGUGGGGUGUGCACAGCAGCAGUCUUUCUGUACCCACAGAGGCGGCAGCAGAGGAGCCACAGAGAGCAUGGGGCUUCUCCACCUUGCCUGGCCCCUCACAGGUGGAAGGGGCUUCUCCACCUCACACGGUCCCUCACAGGUGGAAGGGGGGCUUCUCCACCUCACACGCACGGCCCCUCACGGGUGGAAUGGGGGCUUCUCCACCUCACACAGACCCUCACAGGUGGAAGGGGGGCUUCUCUACCUCGCCUGGCCCUCACAGGUGGGACACGUCCCCUCUGGACUGAGGGGCGUACAUCUUGUCCUGCAGGACAGAGGCCCCUGGCUCCCCUAAAUACCGUCCCGUGGAGGUGACCACAGAGAAACCACCUGAUGGCCAGAAAACCCACCGUGAUAUUUACCAACUGCACUCAACUAUAAAAAGCAAAUUCCCUAAGCCAUCUCGUUUUCCUAAUAAAUGCAGCGACGUAAUGGCCGAGACUAGCUUCUGAACAAAUGUGGGAACAGAAUGAACCCGCCAUUGUCUAGGAACAAAGGUGUGAUCAGAUUCUCUUUUCUAUUCAAUUAAUGUCUAUUCCGCUCAUUAUGAGGGUUCGCUAUUAGUGCUCUCCUUGGUUACUAAAGCACAGACACAGGCUCCGCCUGACCUGCUGGUGCUUCCCCAGGGAACACCCUGGGCUGGCUUCCUGCGUGUGCUGAGCGGACAGAGCGGGAGGAGCAAGCAGAGACGAGACGGUGGAGGCGGAGUGGAGCGAGAUGGCGGGCGUGCAGGGCGGCUUUUACAAACUAUUAAGUUAAAUUCCUGGAAAAAAAAUCAAGCUUCCCGGGCUGCCCUAUCAGUUUAUACAGCCCAGUAACACAUAACAACAGCAUCAGUCCGGUCCGGUUUCACAGGAAAAACCCCACUCCCACACAAUGGCGGCACGGUGGUCUCUGCGGAGUUCUGAGGACGAAUGCUCUGGUCUGCCACAUUCACUUUAGAUGCUUUGCAGGCAGGUGCUCUUCCUAGCCACCCAGCAGGAGGGCACUCGGGGCCACCACACCCAGCUGCCCCGGACGCAAUGUGUGUAGGACCCCUGCCACAGAGACAGACUCCGGGGAGUCCACUCACCCACCUUCAGGGCCCCCGAUGCAAUGUGUGCAGGACCCUGGCCAUGAAGACAGACUCUGGAGAGCCCACUCACCCACCCUCGGGGCCCCCCAAUGCAAUGUGUGCAGGACCCUGGCCAUGAAGACAGACUCUGGGGAGCCCACUCACCCACCUUUGGGGCCCCUGAUGCAAUGUGUGCAGGACCCUGGCCAUAAAGACAGACUCUGGGGAGCCUACUCAGCCACCUUCGGGGCCCCCGAUGCAAUGUGUGCAGGACCCUGACCAUGAAGACACACAGACUCUGGGGAGCCCACUCACCCACCCUCAGGGCCCCCAAUGCAAUGUGUACAGGACCCUGGCCAUGAAGACAGACUCCGGGGAGCCCACUCACCUACCCUCGGGGCUUUGGCGGCUCCCAGGUGGGGUCAUGACCUGGGCUUUCAGAGGAGGAUGGAAAAUUCCGUGCUGGCACCGAUUCCCCCCAGAGCAGGUGUUCGGUGCCGGGAAGUGAUUCCCUCCCGAGGUCGUCUGCAGCUGAUGGUGUAGACAGUGGGGCCGGAAGAGUGAUGGCUGAGGUGGGCGUGGCUCCAAAGAGGAUGGAUUCAGAGUCAGGCCCGGAACCUCACACACGGGGGCUCAGAACACCCAGGAGAGGGGGGCAUCUUUAAUGCGACUUCAUCUACCCACGAGGCGUGUGGGCAUGCCUGUGUGCACGCGUGCGAAUCUCCAAGGAAUUUUGAUCAACCCCAUUCCAAGAUCCCGAGGAAAACAGAUUUAUGGUUUUGUUAUUAAGAUAAAUUAGUGCCUUUCCUUCUAUGUUUUUGUUUUGAGACAGGGUCUUGCUGCCCAGCCUGGAGGGCGGUGGCACAUCUCAGGUCACUGCAGCCUCAAACUCCCUCCCAGGCUCAGCAGUCCUCCCGUCUCAGCACCACCUGCCACCUGGUAGCUGGGACUACAGGUGUGCACCACCAUGCCUGGCUAACUUUUGUAUUUUUCUUUUUUGUAGAGAAGGGGUUUCACCAUGUUCCCCAGGCUGAUUUUGAACUCCUGGGCUCAAGCAAUUCUCCCACCUCAGCCUCCCAAAGUGUGAGCCUGUGUCUGGCCUGGCGCAUUUCUCAGGUAUAGAAUUACAGUACACAGAUUUCUUUUUCUUUUCAUAAGAUCACAUCUCACCACAUUAAAAAAAAAUCAGUCUUAAGCAACACUUGUAAAAAUCAUCAAUGACUUGUGUGAUGGGUGGCCCACUGCGUGGAAGCUGUGAAUGGUCGGGAGCCCCUGCACAAGCCCCAGGCCCCAGUGGCACUUGGGAGGGAGGAGACCCUCAGUACCCUGCCAGUGCCCUGCUGUGAAGUCUGUGCACAGCCUGCCUGCCUGCCUGUGAAGCGUCCACACACCUGCCUGGCCGAGGCCUGCACACCGUAGAGUGGGGUGCACGGUCCCCCUCACCCCUUCUUGAUUAGCUCAUCGCUCUCCUCAGCCUCCCGGAUGCCUGCGUUUUCAAAUCCUGAAGCCCCCGGAGGCCCCUCUGCGUCUGCAUCCCCCAGUCACGGCCAUGCUAGCACACCAAGUGUCGAGCCGUGUGGGUGGAGAGAGCCCACCUCGCGGCUGGGAUCUGGAGGCUGUCUCAGCGCCCUCUCUACCCGGGGCGGGGAGCCGUGUGGGUGGAGAGAGCCCACCUCGCGGCUGGGAUCUGGAGGCUGUCUCAGCGCCCUCUCUACCCGGGGCGGGGAGCCGUGUGGGUGGAGAGAGUCCACCUCGAGGCUGGGAUCUGGAGGCUGUCUCAGCGCCCUCUCCACCCGGGGCGGGGAGCCGUGUGGGUGGAGAGAGCCCACCUUGUGGCUGGGAUCUGGAGGCUGUCUCCACGCCCUCUCCACCUGGGGCGGGGUGCAUGUCCCAGGCCACAUGCACUGGACAGGAAGGAAGCCUCGUCUGGGUAAUGAAAAUUUCCGACAAGUCUCCCUGCCCACUCGGAACCGGAGCAGGAGCUGGGGACUGAUGCUGAAGUGAGAGCCGUCCCCAGCUGGGACCCACUGUGGAGGGGGCACAGUAGGCCCACGGAGCCCGCUGGUGCAGUGAGAGGGACUCUUGCAGGUCCUCGGCAGCGGGCACCGUCCUCUGCCGCCCACUCCUCCCCUCGGCAUUUCCCCAGCCUCCCUUGCGUAUUUCCGUUGUGUGAGUGGGUUUCUCAGCCCUGCCCUCCAUUCCGCCGUUUCCAGCUCUAGCCAGUCUCCUAUUUAAUAAUGCUGGCAUCCUGUGAACACGUGUCCCUUAAUUUUAAAAUGAUUGUUCCUUUUCGGUUUCAUUUCUAGAAGUUUCGUUUGGUUCUUUUUCAAGUCUAGUUGUUCUCUUUUUCAAUGUGGUUAUUCUUCUUGUUUAUAUACCAUUUAAAAUGUUAAAGCCGAUUUCACCGCCCUUUUCACAGGGCGCUGAUUAAGCUUAAGUGUGUGGCGUCUGUUGCCCUUCCACUGUGAACCGCGUGAGGAAAUAGAGACCGUCUUCCCUCAGGAUUUGGCAACUGCUAUCCCAUUUGGCAGUUACUCAGGCUGUUCAUGAGCAGCACAGAAUAGUUCUGACGUGUUCUGUCCAAAGUUGCUCAGCUGUUAACGCGUGUUGUGGAGUCAGUUCUGACGUGUUCUGUCCAAAGUUGCUCAGCUGUUAACGCGUGUUGUGGAGUCAGUUCUGACGUGUUCUGUCCAAAGUUGCUCAGCUGUUAGCACGUGUUGUGGAGUCAGUUCUGACGUGUUCUGUCCAAAGUUGCUCAGCUGUUAGCACGUGUUGUGGAGUCAGUUCUGACGUGUUCUGUUUUCUCUUCUUGCCUGUUGAGGUGAGUGAGUCGGAAUGAGACUCGUUCCCCAAUUGUAACCAUAGGCUGGCCACAGAUACAAGGGUUCCAUGAAAACCGAAGCGGCCGUUCGGUGAGAGCCUGCGGGCUACGUGGAACUGACGAUAGAGCAUGUGCUCUGUUAUCUGUAAGCUGUGUGCUGUGUAUCUUCUGCGUGUAAGCUGCAUGACCUCUCUGGGUCCGCUGUUUAGGGGAGUUGGUUGUUAAACACUCCCUGAAGCCAUUUGUGCAAACGCCAAGUGGACGUGUUUAGAACCGACCACCUGCUCUUGUGGGCCUCAGUUCUCACCGCCCUUCCCACACGGACGUCCAGGUCUCUCUUUGGGAUAAGCCCUUGAGGAGUUCUCUUUCUUUGUGGCUUGGCUACGUAUUUUUUUAAAUAACUCUGCCCAGCAUUUCCAGAGUGGAAUACUUACAUGGGAUUUCAGCCUGCCCUAUUGCCCUCGGCCCUGAAUUCUGAAUUGCAUUCAUCAUGAGAAUCUUCCAUAUUGUGACACGUGCUCACGUAAGAUGUUCCGUGGCUGGGUCUCAGCAACAUCUCAGACACAUGGAAAGCAGAAGGUUCCCGGAGUGUAGGCAGGUUCCGAUGAGGUGCCGACUCGGGGAAGGAGAGCCUGGGACACUGGAGCAACAGGACGCAGCUGGGAGUCAAUCCCGCGAGCUUGAGAAGCUGCUCUGUAAGAGAGGAAGACCAGCAUGCUGGCGGACGCUGACGGACACGCUUGGCCUGGCCAGACUUCAUUUAUUUUUAUUUUUAACAAUGUUUUGGCUUUUAUUUUAGGGCCAGAGGUGUAUGUGCAGGUUUGUUUUAUAGGUAAACUUGUGACUUGGGGGUUUGGUGUACAGAUGAUUUCGUCACCUGGGUACUAAGCAUAGUACCCAACCAUUUUUUUCUGGGCCUCUCCUCCCACCCUCCAUCCUCAAGUGGGCCCCAGUGUCUGAUGUUGCCCUUUCUGUCCAUGUGUUCUCAUUAUUUUGCUCUCACUUAUUAGUGAGAACAUGUGGCGUUUGUUAUGUUUGGUUGUGAAUCCCCAUAUUCGUUUGCUAAAGACAAUGGCCUCCGGUUCUAUCCUUGUUCCUGCAAAGGACAGGAUUUCAUUCUUUUUUAUGGCUGCAUAGUAUUCCAUGGUAUAUAUGUACACAUUUUCUUUAUUUGGUCUGCCAUCAGUGGGCAUUUAGGUUGAUUCUGUGUCUUUGCUAUUGUGAAUACUUCUGUAAUAAACGUGAGCAUGUGUCUUUUUUUUAAAUUUUUUUCCUCACAGACAAGAAAAAGGCAGGGGCCUACACCACAAGGCCCAUUCAGUUAAUUCCUUUUUGUUGUUGUUUUUUUGUUUGUUUUAUGAGAUGAAGUCUCACUCUGUCGCCCAGGCUGGAGUGCAGUGGAGCGAUCGGCUCACCACAGCCUCCGCCUCUCAGGUCCAAGCCAUUCUCCUACCUCAGCCUCCGAAGUAGCUGGGACCACAAGUGUGUGCCACCAUGCCCUGCUAAUGUUUUGUAUUUUUAGUAGAGGCAAGGUUUCACGGUGUUAGCCAGGAUGGUCUCGAUCUCCUGACCUCGUGAUCUGCCCACCUCAGCCUCCCAAAGUGCUGGGAUGACAGGCGUGAGCCACCACGCCCGGUCCUGCAUGUGUCUUUAUGGUUGAACAAUUUAUGUUCUUUUGGGUAUUUACCAGUAGUGCGAUUGCUGGGUCAAAUGAUAGUUCUAUUUUUAGGUCUUUGAGGAAUCUCCACUCUGCGUUCUACAAUGGUUGAACUAACUCACACUCACACCAGCAGUGUGUAAGCAUCCCCUUUUCUGCACGGCCUCACCAGCAUGUGUCAUUUUUUAAACUAUUUAACAGUAACUGUUCUGCCUCAUGUGAGAUGAUGUCUCCCUGUGGUUUUGAUUUGCAUUUCUCUGGUUAGUGAUAUUGAGCAUUUCUUCAUAUGCCUGUUGGCCACAUGUAUGAGUGUUUGUUCAUGUCCUUCGCCCCUUUUUAAUGGAGUUGUUUAUUUUUUGCUUGUAUGUUUGUUUAAGAGCCUUGUAGAUUCUGGAUAUUAGACCUUCGUCAGAUGCAUAUUUUGUAAAUGUUUUCUCCCCUUCUGUAGGUCGUCUGUUUACUCUAUUGAUGGUUUCUUUGGCUGUGCAGAAGCUCUUUAGUUUAGUUAGGUCCCACUUGUCAAUUUUUGAUUUUGUUGCAAUUGCUUUUAGCAUUUUUGUCAUGAAAUCUUUGCCAGUUUCUAUGCUCAAAAUGGUAUUUCCUAGAUUAUCUUUCAGGGUUUUUAUAGUUUUAGGUCUUACAUUUAGGUCUUAAAUCCAUCUUGAUUUUUAAUGUGGUGUAAAUAAGGGGUCACGUUUCAAUCUUCUGCAUACGGCCAGUCAGCUACUCCAGCACCAUUUACUGACUAGGGAGUCCAUUUUCUGUUGCUUGUUUUUGUCACCUUUGUCAAAAAUCAGAUGGUUGUUGGUGUGUGGCUUUAUUUCUGGGCUCUCUAUUCUGUUCUAUUGGGUCUCUGUGUCUGUUUUUGCACCCGUACUAUGCUGUUUUGGUUACUGUAGCCUGUAGUAUAGUUUGAGGUCGGGCAAUGCAAUUCCUCCAGUUUCAUUCUUUUUGCUUAGAAUGGCCUUGUCUAUUUGGGCUCUUUUUUGAUUCCAUAUGAACUUCACUUCUGUGAAGAAUGCCAUUGCUCAUUGGAGAGGAAUAGUGUGGCCAUUUUAUAAAAGGAAAAUUUUUAUUGCAUUUUAGGUUUUGGGGUACAUGUGCAGAACAUACAAGUUGCAUAGGUACACACAUGGCAGUGUGUUUUGCUUCCUUUCUCCCCUUCACCCACAUUUGGCAUUUCUCCCCAGGCUAUCCCUCCGCAGCUCCCACCCACCCCGCUGGCCCUCCCCUUUUCCCCCCAAUAGACCCCAGUGUUUAGUACUCCCCUCUCUGUGUCCAUGUGUUCUCAUUUUUCAUCACCUGCCUAUGAGUGAGAAUAUGCGGUCUUUUAUUUUCUGUUCUUGUGUCAGUUUGCUGAGAAUGAUGUUCUCCAGAUUCAUCCAUGUCCCUACAAACGACACAAACUCAUCAUUUCUGAUUGCUGCAUAAUAUUCCAUGGUGUAUAUGUGCCACAUUUUCCCAGUCCAGUCUAUCAUCAGUGGGCAUUUGGGUUGGUUCCAGGUCUUUGCUAUUGUAAACAGUGCUUCAGUGAACAUUCGUGUACAUGUGUCCUUAUAGUAGAACGAUUUAUAGUCUUUUGGAUAUAUACCCAGUAAUGGGAUUGCUGGUUCAAAUGGAAUUUCUAUUUCUAAGGCCUUGAGGAAUCGCCACACUGUCUUCCACAAUGGUUGAACUAAUUUACACUUCUACCAACAGUGUAAAAGUGUUCCUUUUUCUCCACAUCCUCUCUAGCAUCUGUUGUCUCCAGAUUUUUUGUGUGGCCAUUUUAACGAUGUUGAUUCUUCUAUCCAUAAGCGCUGAAUGGUUUUCAUUUGUUUGUAUCACUUCUGAUUUCUUGGAGCAUUGUUCUGUAAUUCUCAUUGCAAAGAUCUUCCACUCUCUGGUUAGCUGUAUUCCUAGAUAUUUUAUUCUUCUUGUGGCAAUUGUAAAUGGGAUUGCAUUCCUGAUUUGGCUCAUGGCUUGGGUACUGUUAGUGUACAAGAAUGCUACUCAUUUUUGUACAUUGAUUUUGUAUCUCAAAACUUUGUUGAAGUUGCUUAUCAGCUCAAGAAGCUUUUCGGCAGAGAAUGUGGGGUUUUCUAGAUAAAGGAUCGUGUCAUCUGCAAACAGGGGCAGCCCGACGUCCUCUUUUCCUCUCUGGAUGCCUUUUAUUUAUCUUGCCUGAUUGCUCUGUUGGCCCAAAUUUAGCUGAGCUCUUACGUCCAUCUGUGCCAUCCUAUUUUAACAAAGAACCAUGUUAAGUCAGUUUAGCAAGAACCGUUCCCCCGCCCAUCCUUGAUAUCUGGUCACCCUCAAUAUCUGAUUGGGUCCCUCAUCCUCCACCAUCCCCCAGGUGAUGUCAGUCACCCUGGCCUCCCUUCAGCAAGAAUCCUGUUAGGUGGGUUUAGCCAGAAUCCCCUGAGCCUGGCGCUUCCUCUUGGUAACUCUCCAACUCUCCAUCCACUCACCCCGAGCCCACGCCUUGGCUGUGGCGCUGUCCGUGUCCCUGUGGUGUUUGGAACUGAGCUCUGCUAGGGUUUGGGUACUGGACCCUGCAAACCUCAUGUUGAAGUUUGAUGCCCACCGUGGGAUUUGGGGCCUAGUGAAAGGUUUUUGGGUCAUGGGGGUGGAUCCCUCGUGAAGAGACUAAUACUCUGGAAAUUCCCACGAAAGCUGGUUGUUAAAAGAGUCUGGCUCUCCCUCCAUGCCAUCUCCUGCUUUCUCUCUUCAUCUGAGCUCUGCACACGUAUGUGGCCAUGAGUGGAGGCAGCCUGAGGCCUCCCUAGAUGCAGGCACUGGCACCAUGCUUCUCACACAGCCUGCAGAACUGUGAGCCAGAAGCCUCUUUUCUUUAUAAAUUGCCCAGCGUCAGGCGUUCCUUCACAGCAAUGCAAGAUGGACUGAGAGGAGCCCGGUCUGUCUCCCCCAGCACCACCCCUGUGCCAGUCGCACGGGCCCUGAAUCAAAUCUUCCUGCGUUUCAACAGGUGUCAUUCAAUGUUUGUUUCUUCACCCCAAGCCCCUCUCGUGGGAGGGCGCUGAUUAGGAAUGACCUGAUUUUGGGACAAGGCGGCUCCAACGUCCUCCAUCUCUCACUGUUGCCAGUGGAGACGGCUGAGGGCAGUGGGGAAGGUCGUUGGCGGUGGUGGCACACCCUGGAGCCCUGGUCUCUCUGGUUACAGUUUGAAUGUCCUGCUGCAUCUCCCUGCCAUGUGGAGGGGUGUGAUUGUGUGGAUAUGGGGGAUGAGGUCUCCCUUCCCACCAAGGACAGAAGGACAGUCCUAAGAUGGGGUUGGAGCCCUAGAUGAGAGUAUGAGCCUCAUGGUCGGGGGGUGCGGGGCAGGGCUGCCGUUAGCCACGGUAGUGAUAUAUCCUCCUCUAGGACUGGGCAUGGGGAGGUGGCGGCAUCUCCCACCCCACGGUGUGGAAUCCAGGGGGUCCUGGGCACAGAGGGACAGGGACGGCACGUGUGGGACGGAUGCUGCCUGCAGCUCCUUAUUGAGACUGUUUAGUCCUGUUUUAAGCAUGAAAACUCAGUGACGCCCUGGCCCUUGGUACACAUCUAAUGCUGCGAAGGAAGCAGCAACAUGACCCGCGGUUCUAGAAAACAUCCAGUUUGUUUCGGCGUCUGAAUACAUGUUCAGGGCCUCAGGAAGCAGACGGAUGGGACCCUCCCCAAACAGAGACCGCUUGAAUG